rnacentral:misc_RNA from 1 species
CAAAUUCAAUCUAUGAAGCUUAUAUUCCUGAAGGCAUUUCAAAGCCAGGAGCAGAUGCUAGCCAUGAGCAGCGUUCUAAAUUCAUUAGGUCCAAGUAUGAGCGACAAGAAUUCUUGAAACCAAGCCAAAUUCAAUCUAUGAAGCUUAUAUUCCUGAAGGCAUUUCAAAGCCAGGAGCAGAUGCUAGCCAUGAGCAGCGUUCUAAAUUCAUUAGGUCCAAGUAUGAGCGACAAGAAUUCUUGAAACCAAGCUUGCGUAUAUUGUCAAAUCAGAAAAAAGGAUCUCUCAAAACAAGUUUGUCUAAUAAGAUCACAGACAGCUUUCGAAGUUCGAGUUCAACUUCACAAAAAUCUGAAGGCAUGGUAGAAUUUAUUGGAAUGCUGAAGGUUAAAGUAAUUAAAGGCACAAACUUAGCCAUCAGAGAUAUGCUCUCAAGUGAUCCUUAUGUUGUCCUGAAUCUUGGGAAACAGAAAGUGCAAACAAGUGUAGUAAAGAGCAAUUUAAAUCCAAUUUGGAAUGAGGAAGUAAUGCUUUCUGUUCCACAAGAUUACGGAGUUGUAAGACUGCAAGUAUAUGAUCACGAUACAUUCUCUGCUGAUGAUAUAAUGGGGGAAGCCGAGAUAGACAUCCAGCCUAUGAUAACAUCUGCCAUGGCAUUUGGGGAUGCUGGAAUGUUUGGUAACAUGCAGAUUGGAAAAUGGCUAAAAUCAAAUGAUAAUGCCCUGCUGGAUGAUAGCACUGUAAACAUCGUGGACGGGAAGGUGAAACAAGAAGUAAAUCUUAAGCUACAAAAUGUUGAAUCUGGAGAUCUUGAAUUAGAAUUAGAGUGGAUCCCUCUUGACCAAUAGGUGUAUAUAAGAUUUUAGAAUUUUUUG